GGUCCAGCCUGCCCAGUGACUAAGUUCAACGGCCGCGGUAUCCUAACCGUGCGAAGGUAGCGUAAUCACUUGUUCUUUAAAUGAGGACUAGUAUGAACGGCACCACGAAGGUUAUACUGUCUCCUUUCCCUAAUCAGUGAAACUAAUCUCCCCGUGAAGAAGCGAGGAUAAAAAUAUAAGACGAGAAGACCCUAUGGAGCUUUAAACAAUGCGACAACUGCUACUAAUCUAUCUAAGGCCCCAGAGUCUCUAAGUUAUUUUAGCACUUUGACGCAAGUUUUAGGUUGGGGUGACCGCGGAGCAGAAUACAACCUCCACGCUGAAAGAAUCCUAUUCUUAGCCGAGAGCUACUACCCUAGGCACCAGCACACUGUCAUCUAUUGACCCAAUACA
rnacentral:rRNA from 1 species